GUUUGAUCCUGGCUCAGGACGAACGCUGGCGGCGUGCUUAACACAUGCAAGUCGAACGAUGAUGCCCAGCUUGCUGGGUGGAUUAGUGGCGAACGGGUGAGUAACACGUGAGUAACCUGCCCCUGACUCUGGGAUAAGCGUUGGAAACGACGUCUAAUACUGGAUAUGAUCACCGGCCGCAUGGUCUGGUGGUGGAAAGAUUUAUUGGUUGGGGAUGGACUCGCGGCCUAUCAGCUUGUUGGUGAGGUAAUGGCUCACCAAGGCGACGACGGGUAGCCGGCCUGAGAGGGUGACCGGCCACACUGGGACUGAGACACGGCCCAGACUCUACGGGAGGCAGCAGUGGGGAAUAUUGCACAAUGGGCGAAAGCCUGAUGCAGCAACGCCGCGUGAGGGAUGACGGCCUUCGGGUUGUAAACCUCUUUUAGUAGGGAAGAAGCGAAAGUGACGGUACCUGCAGAAAAAGCACCGGCUAACUACGUGCCAGCAGCCGCGGUAAUACGUAGGGUGCAAGCGUUGUCCGGAAUUAUUGGGCGUAAAGAGCUCGUAGGCGGUUUGUCGCGUCUGCUGUGAAAUCCCGAGGCUCAACCUCGGCUUGCAGUGGGUACGGGCAGACUAGAGUGCGGUAGGGGAGAUUGGAAUUCCUGGUGUAGCGGUGGAAUGCGCAGAUAUCAGGAGGAACACCAAUGGCGAAGGCAGAUCUCUGGGCCGUAACUGACGCUGAGGAGCGAAAGCAUGGGGAGCGAACAGGAUUAGAUACCCUGGUAGUCCAUGCCGUAAACGUUGGGCGCUAGAUGUAGGGACCUUUCCACGGUUUCUGUGUCGUAGCUAACGCAUUAAGCGCCCCGCCUGGGGAGUACGGCCGCAAGGCUAAAACUCAAAGGAAUUGACGGGGGCCCGCACAAGCGGCGGAGCAUGCGGAUUAAUUCGAUGCAACGCGAAGAACCUUACCAAGGCUUGACAUACACCGGAAACGGCCAGAGAUGGUCGCCCCCUUGUGGUCGGUGUACAGGUGGUGCAUGGUUGUCGUCAGCUCGUGUCGUGAGAUGUUGGGUUAAGUCCCGCAACGAGCGCAACCCUCGUUCUAUGUUGCCAGCGGGUUAUGCCGGGGACUCAUAGGAGACUGCCGGGGUCAACUCGGAGGAAGGUGGGGAUGACGUCAAAUCAUCAUGCCCCUUAUGUCUUGGGCUUCACGCAUGCUACAAUGGCCGGUACAAAGGGCUGCGAUACCGUAAGGUGGAGCGAAUCCCAAAAAGCCGGUCUCAGUUCGGAUUGAGGUCUGCAACUCGACCUCAUGAAGUCGGAGUCGCUAGUAAUCGCAGAUCAGCAACGCUGCGGUGAAUACGUUCCCGGGCCUUGUACACACCGCCCGUCAAGUCAUGAAAGUCGGUAACACCCGAAGCCGGUGGCCUAACCCUUGUGAAGGAGCCGUCGAAGGUGGGAUCGGUGAUUAGGACUAAGUCGUAACAAGGUAGCCGUACCGGAAGGUGCGGCUGGAUCACCUC
rnacentral:rRNA from 1 species